UUCACUUAAAACAACCUCAUGAAUAAUACAGUUUAAAAUAAAAUAUUUUACUUCUCAUAACAAUGGGUUUUACAGCUUACAAGCUUAGGUAUUAACAUGCAUCAGUCUAUUUUACUUCAAGGAGUAGUGGUGACUUUUUAGUGAGGUUUGGCUGGUGUUUCUGUUGGUGGAUUUACAGGUCUUCUGUCCUGUCUUUCUUUGCAGCUGAACCUGCUGGUGAAGGUGGUGCAGCUUCCCAAGCCACGUCCAGGACGGAGCCUCUGGGAGAUGCUGAGGGUGUGUCUGCAGGGAGGACUUCUCAAGCUCCUUUGCUGAUUCCUACAAAGAAGCCUGGCAGCCAUGGCAGGGGUCCUCCGAGGGGGAAGAACCAAGCUACAGGACACCAGAAACCCCAUGAUCCUUCCGAAAACAUGAGGCAAACGCUGAAGGAAAUGCAGCAGGCAGGAGAAGAAAUGAAAGGAGAGCCUGCGGAGAAAGAAGCAUUUCCCGGAGGAAGCAGUGGUUCCGUGCCAGCCUCAGCUCCAGGAAGGGAGGCCAUGCCAGGCACAGGCACAGGAG